rnacentral:lncRNA from 10 species
GCAGAAGCCCAGCGUCCAGCGCGCUAAGCUAGCUGGCCCGGCAGGGGCGACGGCGGCGGGUAGCUCGCGGGCUAGCAUCGAGACGAGGCUCCCGCCCGACAGGCCGAGCGCGAAACGGGCGCGGGCCCCUGCCAGGCAGCAUGCUGCGCGCUGGGCCACCAGCUGCGCUAGCGCCGCACCCAGCUCCUGGGAACUCGAGAACACCGAGAUGAGGCCCGGGGCCGGCGCGGCCAUGGCGAGGGCGGCGGCGGGGAGGAGGAAGCGCUCCCUACGGCCGUCGCUAGUACGCCUGCGCAAGGGCCGGCCCUGCCGCUUGGUUUCGAGUACUUUGGGUGAUUGUCUUUGGCACAUGCGCAGUGAGGCAAGUGAAGCACCGCGAAGGUCGGGCAGUCGGUCCGGCCCUACCCAUUGAAUCUUUGCCUGCUGUGCCUGAGUCGAAGUGAGUUCGGGAAGCCAGUGCCCGAAUGCUCAACCUUGCUGUAUCAGGGAGGGCCGGAGAGGGGAGCUCAAGAAGAGGACGUCCUAUCGAGGUGGCAGGGAUUUUCUGAAGGAGGGCGUAUUUUGAUGGAAUCUCACUCUGUCACCCAGACUGGAGUGCAGUGGCCCGAUCUCAGCUCACUGCAGCCUCCGCUUCCCAGGUUCAAGCGAUUCUCCUGCCUCAGCCUUCCAGGCAGCUGGGAUUACAGUCGUCCCAGAAGCGGCUGGCCGAGAAUUUCUUGCGGAGGACGACUGUCAGCCCAUAGAUGAGACACUGCCCCACGCCGAUGAUGUUUCCUGCAGAGGGUGGCCUUG